AGCGGCGGACGGGUGAGUUUGGCGUGGGUAACCUGCCUCAUACACAUGGAUAACAUACCGAAAGGUAUGCUAAUACAAGAUGAUAUAAGAGAUUCGCAUGGAUUUCUUAUCAAAGCUCCGGCGGUAUGAGAUGGACCCGCGCCUGAUUAGCUAGUUGGUAAGGUAACGGCUUACCAAGGCGACGAUCAGUAGCCGACCUGAGAGGGUGAUCGGCCACAUUGGAACUGAGACACGGUCCAAACUCCUACGGGAGGCAGCAGUGGGGAAUAUUGCACAAUGGGCGAAAGCCUGAUGCAGCAACGCCGCGUGAGCGAUGAAGGCCUUCGGGCCGUAAAGCUCUGUCCUCAAGGAAGAUAAUGACGGUACUUGAGGAGGAAGCCCCGGCUAACUACGUGCCAGCAGCCGCGGUAAUACGUAGGGGGCUAGCGUUAUCCGGAUUUACUGGGCGUAAAGGGUGCGUAGGUGGUUUCUUAAGUCAGGAGUGAAAGGCUACGGCUCAACCGUAGUAAGCUCUUGAAACUGGGAAACUUGAGUGCAGGAGAGGAAAGUGGAAUUCCUAGUGUAGCGGUGAAAUGCGUAGAUAUUAGGAGGAACACCAGUAGCGAAGGCGGCUUUCUGGACUGUAACUGACACUGAGGCACGAAAGCGUGGGGAGCAAACAGGAUUAGAUACCCUGGUAGUCCACGCCGUAAACGAUGAGUACUAGGUGU
rnacentral:rRNA from 1 species